rnacentral:rRNA from 1 species
UACGUAGGGUGCGAGCGUUGUCCGGAAUUAUUGGGCGUAAAGAGCUCGUAGGCGGCUUGUUGCGUCGGAUGUGAAAGCUCGGGGCUAACUCCGGGUCGGCAUUCGAUACGGGCAGGCUAGAGUGUGGUAGGGGAGAUCGGAAUUCCUGGUGGUAGCGGUGAAAUGCGCAGAUAUCAGGAGGAACACCGGUGGCGAAGGCGGAUCUCUGGGCCAAUUACUGACGCUGAGGAGCGAAAGCGUGGGGAGCGAACAGG